AUUGAACGCUGGCGGCAUGCUUUACACAUGCAAGUCGAACGGUAACAGGCCUUCGGGUGCUGACGAGUGGCGAACGGGUGAGUAAUUCAUCGGAACGUACCCAGAGGUGGGGGAUAACGCAGCGAAAGCUGUGCUAAUACCGCAUGUGAUCUGAGGAUGAAAGCGGGGGACCGAGCAGCAAUGUUUGGCCUCGCGCCUUUGGAGCGGCCGAUGUCGGAUUAGCUAGUUGGUGGGGUAAAGGCCUACCAAGGCGACGAUCCGUAGCUGGUCUGAGAGGACGACCAGCCCCACUGGGACUGAGACACGGCCCAGACUCCUACGGGAGGCAGCAGUGGGGAAUGUUGGACAGUGGGCGCAAGCCUGAUCCAGCAAUGCCGCGUGCGGGAAGAAGGCCUUCGGGUUGUAAACCGCUUUUGGCAGGAACGAAACGGUGUCCGCUAAUACCGGGCGCUAAUGACGGUACCUGCAGAAUAAGCACCGGCUAACUACGUG
rnacentral:rRNA from 1 species